rnacentral:RNase_P_RNA from 1 species
GAAGCCGGCCAGGCCGCCGCUGGCGCAAGGUCCCGAAAGGGCGCGCUGGAGGAAGGUCCGGACUGCGCAGGGCGGCGUAGCAGCUAACGGCUGUCCACCGCGAGGUGAGGAUCAGAGCAACAGAGACGAGUCAGGGCGGGGCGCCGGCGCAAGCCGGCAAGCUGUCUUGGGUGAAACGGGCAAUCUCUACGCGCAGCAACACCGAAUAGGCACACGCAGGGCGGCGUUCGCGUCGACCGGAACCCCGGCCCGGGGCGAGUGUGCGGGUAGGUGGCACCGAGCCGGGUGGGUGACCCCCGGCCCAGAGGAAUGGCGGUCACACCGGGCCCGCUUCGGCGGGUUCCGGUGCACAGAAUCCGGCCUAUCGGCCGACUUCACAC